rnacentral:misc_RNA from 1 species
AUGUAACACAAAGAUUAGCGUUACAUUGCCAGUUUAACACCAACAUGCAAAAUGUUGAAAGAUAAUGAAAGCCAAAUUUCAAAUAAUGAUGCUUAAUACCAAGCAUGGAGUGACAAGGGGACUUGCUACCCAAAUGAGAUACAAAGUUACAAACUAAUUUAAUAAAGCUAUAACAGUUCUCAAGCUAUAUCAAUAUAAUUUAUAAAUCUCUAGGUCGUUUAAUAUUCAUGCAAAUAGAAGGAAAAACGAAUUACAUCAUAGCGAAUGCCAUCAGCAGAGGGGUGCUUAUUGAAUUUAAAUUCAGUUUCUUACAAUUGAUCUCCUUAAAUUUUGUGAGAGCAGACAACCAAUGGGAAAUCAUUUGCCUAGAUAUGCAGAAACAUAUCAAAAAAAAGCAGCUUUCUAGCAUACUGGUAAUGCAAGAUUAAGUUGAAAUUGUCAAAAGAAACACAAUAUAAUAAGUUGUAAAUUGUA